GCCAGGUGCAGUGGCGUGCACCUGUAAUCCCAGCUACUGGGGAGGCUGAGGCAGGAGAAUUGCUUGAACCCAGGAGGCGGGGGUUGUGGUGAGCCAAGAUCAUGCCACUACACUCCAGCCUGGGCUACAGAGCAAGACUUCGUCUCCA
ensembl:misc_RNA Metazoa_SRP Metazoan signal recognition particle RNA